AAAAGAACUCAAAACUCUUCGUACUCCCACUAUACUACACCCUAAACA
rnacentral:tRNA from 1 species